CCUACGGGCGGCAGCAGUGGGGAAUAUUGGGCCAUGGGCGCAAGCCUGACCCAGCAAUGCCGCGUGAAGGAAGAAGGCUUUCGGGUUGUAAACUUCUUUGACAGGGGAAGAGCAGAAGACGGUACCCUGAAAACAAGCCACGGCUAACUACGUGCAAGCAGCCGCGGUAAUACGUAGGUGGCAAGCGUUGUCCGGAUUUACUGGGUGUAAAGGGCGUGUAGCCGGGAAGGCAAGUCAGAUGUGAAAUCUGGAGGCUCAACCUCCAAAUUGCAUUUGAAACUGUUUUUCUUGAGUACUGGAGAGGCAGACGGAAUUCCUUGUGUAGCGGUGAAAUGCGUAGAGAUAAGGAGGAAGACCAGUGGCGAAGGCGGUCUGCUGGACAGCAACUGACGGUGAGGCGCGAAAGCGUGGGGAGCAAACAGGAUUAGAUACCCUUGUAGUC
rnacentral:rRNA from 1 species